rnacentral:rRNA from 1 species
UACGUAGGGGCCGAGCGUUGUCCGGAUUCAUUGGGCGUAAAGAGCGUGUAGGCGGCCGCUUAAGUCCUGCGUGAAAUCUCGGAGCUCAACUCCGAGCGGUCGUGGGAAACUGGGCGGCUAGAGUGCGGGAGAGGAGAGUGGAAUUCCUGGUGUAGCGGUGGAAUGCGCAGAUAUCAGGAAGAACACCCGUGGCGAAGGCGGCUCUCUGGAACGGUACUGACGCUGAGACGCGAAAGCGUGGGGAGCGAACAGG